CCCCUCUCCCCGCUGUUUCUGAGCCAGCAUGGCGGCGGAGCUGCGUGUGAGCAUGACACCGUGUCAAGAAGGGGUAAAAACACUCCCCUGGCUGGGGAGCUGAUUUACCCACGGUGCACCUUCACAAUGGAGGAAAUGGUCCUGCAGAAUCCUGGGGCUGCUGUUGCCCAAAGACAGCUUUGGCCAGAGGGCAGCUGCUGUGUUUGGCUUCAGAUGUGGAAGGAAGAUUGCUCUGGACUGGAUGUCACAAAUAACUGCUGAUAUGUCGUGUGAAAUGGCCACCUGUGUGUAGCCACAGGCUCCUCCUCACUGCUCAGUGGUUGCUGCAGCCACACCAUGGGGCCUGAUCUACAGUUGGCUGGAGGAAAAAGUGGUUCCCUGCUUUCUUGUGUUCCAGAAUAAAAUAAGUUGUGGAAAA